UACAGAGGUCUCAAGCGUUGUUCGGAUUCAUUGGGCGUAAAGGGUGCGUAGGCGGCGCGGUAAGUCGGGUGUGAAAUCUCGGAGCUUAACUCCGAAACUGCAUUCGAUACUGCCGUGCUUGAGGACUGGAGAGGAGACUGGAAUUUACGGUGUAGCGGUGAAAUGCGUAGAUAUCGUAAGGAAGACCAGUGGCGAAGGCGGGUCGUCGUGGACAGUUCCUGACGCUGAGGCACGAAGGUCAGGGGAGCAAACGGG
rnacentral:rRNA from 1 species